rnacentral:rRNA from 1 species
GAUGAACGCUGGCGGCGUGCCUAAUACAUGCAAGUCGAGCGAACAGACGAGGAGCUUGCUCCUCUGACGUUAGCGGCGGACGGGUGAGUAACACGUGGAUAACCUACCUAUAAGACUGGGAUAACUUCGGGAAACCGGAGCUAAUACCGGAUAAUAUAUUGAACCGCAUGGUUCAAUAGUGAAAGACGGUUUUGCUGUCACUUAUAGAUGGAUCCGCGCCGCAUUAGCUAGUUGGUAAGGUAACGGCUUACCAAGGCAACGAUGCGUAGCCGACCUGAGAGGGUGUCCGGCCACACUGAAACUGAGACACGGUCCAGCCUCCACGGGAGGCAGCAGUAGGGAAUCUUCCGCAAUGGGCGAAAGCUUGACGGAGCAACGCCGCGUGAGUGAUGAAGGUCUUCGGAUCGUAAAACUCUGUUAUUAGGGAAGAACAAAUGUGUAAGUAACUAUGCACGUCUUGACGGUACCUAAUCAGAAAGCCACGGCUAACUACGUG